CGGCCACGGGGAANAANNAGGGGGUGAUGUUCAGGUUCAGUANUGCCCUUACAACUGGGGGUACAAAACAACGNUACAAUGGGCCGGAACAAAGGGCUGCCAAGUCGCAAGACGGAGCAAAUCCCAUCAAAGCCGGUCCCAGUUCGGAUAGCAGGCUGAAACUCGCCUGCUUGAAGUCGGAAUCGCUAGUAACGGUAGGUCAGCUAUACUACCCGUGAAUACGUUNCCCGGGUCUUGUACACACCGCCCGUCAAACCAUGAAAAUCGUGAG
rnacentral:rRNA from 1 species